rnacentral:rRNA from 1 species
GAAUUUUGCUCAAUGGGCGAAAGCCUGAAGCAGCAACGCCGCGUGAGGGCUGAAGGCCUUCGGGUUGUAAACCUCUUUUCUCAGGGACGAUGAUGACGGUACCUGUGGAUUAAGCCACGGCUAACUACGUUCCAGCAGCCGCGGUAAUACGUAGGUGGCGAGCGUUGUUCGGACUCACUGGGCGUAAAGGGUGUGUAGGCGGCUCGUCGUGUUCGGUGUGAAAUCCCACGGCUCACCCGUGGAACUGCGUCGAAAACUGACGGGCUUGAGGCGAGGAGAGGAGAGCGGAAUUCCUGGUGUAGCGGUGAAAUGCGUAGAUAUCAGGAGGAACGCCGGUGGCGAAAGCGGCUUUCUGGCCUUGUCCUGACGCUGAGGCACGAAAGCCAGGGGAUCAAACG